rnacentral:rRNA from 1 species
UGGGUAAUCUUUUGAAACUUCAUCGUGAUGGGGAUAGAGCAUUGCAAUUAUUGUUCUUCAACGAGGAAUCCCUAGUAAGCACAAGUCACCAGCUUGUGCUGAUUACGUCCCUGCCCUUUGUACACACCGCCCGUCGCUACUACCGAUUGAAUGACUUUAGUGAGGCCCUCGGAUCGAUAUUUCAUGAACUGGCAACAGUUUUUUUGUUUGUUGAGAAGUUUGGGUCAAAACUUGGGUCAUUUUAAAGGAAAGUAAA